GACGAACGCUGGCGGCGUGCCUAAUACAUGCAAGUAGAACGCUGAAGAGAGGAGCUUGCUCUUCUUGGAUGAGUUGCGAACGGGUGAGUAACGCGUAGGUAACCUGCCUGGUAGCGGGGGAUAACUAUUGGAAACGAUAGCUAAUACCGCAUAAUAUUGACUAUUGCAUGAUAGUUGAUUAAAAGGUGCAAUUGCACCACUACCAGAUGGACCUGCGUUGUAUUAGCUAGUUGGUGGGGUAACGGCUCACCAAGGCGACGAUACAUAGCCGACCUGAGAGGGUGAUCGGCCACACUGGGACUGAGACACGGCCCAGACUCCUACGGGAGGCAGCAGUAGGGAAUCUUCGGCAAUGGACGGAAGUCUGACCGAGCAACGCCGCGUGAGUGAAGAAGGUUUUCGGAUCGUAAAGCUCUGUUGUAAGAGAAGAACGAGUGUGAGAGUGGAAAGUUCACACUGUGAC
rnacentral:rRNA from 1 species